GAUGAACGCUAGCGGCAGGCUUAACACAUGCAAGUCGAGGGGCAGCAAGGGUAGCAAUACCUGUUGGCGACCGGCAAACGGGUGCGGAACACGUACAGAAUCUACCUUGAUCUGGGGCAUAGCCCGGAGAAAUCCGGAUUAACUCCCCAUAAUAUGAUUGAGUGGCAUCACUUGUAUUAAUUUAAAAUUUAAUUGGAUCGAGAUGACUGUGCGUCCCACUUAGCUAGUUGGUAGGGUAACGGCCUACCAAGGNGACGAUGGGUAGCUGGUGUGAGAG
rnacentral:rRNA from 1 species